rnacentral:rRNA from 1 species
UACGAAGGGGGCUAGCGUUGCUCGGAAUUACUGGGCGUAAAGGGCGCGUAGGCGGAUAGUUAAGUUGGGGGUGAAAGCCCGGGGCUCAACCUCGGAACUGCCUUCAAUACUGGCUAUCUUGAGUACGGGAGAGGUGUGUGGAACUCCGAGUGUAGAGGUGAAAUUCGUAGAUAUUCGGAAGAACACCAGUGGCGAAGGCGACACACUGGCCCGUUACUGACGCUGAGGCGCGAAAGCGUGGGGAGCAAACAGG